rnacentral:rRNA from 1 species
UAGUCCACGCCGUAAACGAUGGGUGCUGGAUGUCGGAAUCUUAAGAUUUCGGUGUCGGAGCUAACGCAUUAAGCACCCCGCCUGGGGAGUACGGUCGCAAGAUUAAAACUCAAAGGAAUUGACGGGGACCCGCACAAGCGGUGGAGCAUGUGGUUUAAUUCGAGGCAACGCGAAGAACCUUACCAGCCCUUGACAUCCUGGUCGCGGCUUUUAGAGAUAAAAGCUUUCAGUUCGGCUGGACCAGUGACAGGUGCUGCAUGGCUGUCGUCAGCUCGUGUCGUGAGAUGUUGGGUUAAGUCCCGCAACGAGCGCAACCCUCGUCCUUAGUUGCCAGCACGUUAUGGUGGGAACUCUAAGGAAACCGCCGGUGAUAAGCCGGAGGAAGGUGGGGAUGACGUCAAGUCUUCAUGGCCCUUAUGGGCUGGGCUACACACGUGCUACAAUGGCGAUGACAAUGGGCAGCGACUCUGCGAGGAGGAGCGAAUCCCAAAAAAUCGUCUCAGUUCGGAUUG